rnacentral:rRNA from 1 species
GUGCCAGCAGCCGCGGUAAUACGUAGGGUGCAAGCGUUAAUCGGAAUUACUGGGCGUAAAGCGUGCGCAGGCGGUUUUGUAAGACAGAGGUGAAAUCCCCGGGCUCAACCUGGGAACUGCCUUUGUGACUGCAAAGCUGGAGUACGGCAGAGGGGGAUGGAAUUCCGCGUGUAGCAGUGAAAUGCGUAGAUAUGCGGAGGAACACCGAUGGCGAAGGCAAUCCCCUGGGCCUGUACUGACGCUCAUGCACGAAAGCGUGGGGAGCAAACAGGAUUAGAUACCCUGGUAGUCCACGCCCUAAACGAUGUCAACUGGUUGUUGGGUGGGUUUCUACUCAGUAACGAAGCUAACGCGUGAAGUUGACCGCCUGGGGAGUACGGCCGCAAGGUUGAAACUCAAAGAAAUUGACGG